GUGGGGAAUUUUGGACAAUGGGCGCAAGCCUGAUCCAGCCAUGCCGCGUGCAGGAUGAAGGCCUUCGGGUUGUAAACUGCUUUUGUACGGAACGAAAAGACUUCUUCUAAUACAGGAGGUCCAUGACGGUACCGUAAGAAUAAGCACCGGCUAACUACGUGCCAGCAGCCGCGGUAAUACGUAGGGUGCAAGCGUUAAUAGGAAUUACUGGGCGUAAAGCGUGCGCAGGCGGUUAUAUAAGACAGAUGUGAAAUACCCGGGCUCAACCUGGGAACUGCAUUUGUGACUGUAUAGCUAGAGUACGGUAGAGGGGGAUGGAAUUCCGCGUGUAGCAGUGAAAUGCGUAGAUAUGCGGAGGAACACCGAUGGCGAAGGCAAUCCCCUGGACCUGUACUGACGCUCAUGCACGAAAGCGUGGGGAGCAAACAGGAUUAGAAACCCGGGUAGUCC
rnacentral:rRNA from 1 species